rnacentral:rRNA from 1 species
GACGAACGCUGGCGGCGUGCUUAACACAUGCAAGUCGAACGGUAAGGCCCUUUCGGGGGUACACGAGUGGCGAACGGGUGAGUAACACGUGGGUGACCUGCCUCAAGCUCUGGGAUAAGCCUGGGAAACCGGGUCUAAUACCGGAUAUGACCUCAUGUUGCAUGGUGUGGGGUGGAAAGUUUUUCGGCUUGAGAUGGGCCCGCGGCCUACCAGCUUGUUGGUGGGGUGAUGGCCUACCGAGGCUUCGACGGGUAGCCGGCCUGAGAGGGCGUCCGGCCACACUGGGACUGAGACACGGCCCAGACUCCUACGGGAGGCAGCAGUGGGGAAUAUUGCGCAAUGGGCGGAAGCCUGACGCAGCGACGCCGCGUGGGGGAUGACGGCCUUCGGGUUGUAAACCUCUUUCGACCCCGACGAAGCGGAAGUGACGGUAGGGGUGGAAGAAGCACCGGCCAACUACGUGCCAGCAGCCGCCGUAAGAC